UCCCUACCUAUGCUGAUAAGCCUUGAGAGG
rnacentral:sRNA from 1 species